UUAACGAAAUGUUUUGAAAACAUACAAAAUAUUAUUUCCAUAUAUAAUCAAUGUAAAAUCAUUAUAAAAUGAUUAAUAAGAUUUUACAUUCUUUCUUUACAGCCAACUCUAAAAUCUGAUGUGCAUUUCACACUUACAGCACAUCCCAGUUCAGACUGGCCACAUUUCAAAUGCUCGAUAGCCACAUGUAGCCAGGGGUACCAUAUUGGACAGUUCUGAUCUAGAAUGAUGGUCACUUCCCAUUUGGGCCAGUUGUGUUUUCCUCCCUUUAUUUCCCUGCAUGAUGAGCAACAACGACAAAAACCCUAAGUAAUAAAGGGUUUGUGUGACUGGCUCUGGUGUCUUUAGGAAGAGGUAAGCUGGCAAGACCACAGUGUCUUUCACAGCCAGGCUUGGGGAGAAGAACCUGAGGGAGAAAGGGGGUGGCGAUGUUGAAGAGAAGAGAGAAGCCAGGUGAGUGGGUCUCUGGGGUCUGCGUUAGGGAGAAGGGUGAAGGGAGCCAGAGCACAAGGGUCCUGCAGGAUGGAAGAAGGAACCACCCCGGAAUAGCCAGGGGUGCUUCCUGACAGCCAUUCCCUGGGGUCUCUCUGAGGGCAGGGAGGCCAUGCCCACCUCUGAUCACAGAGUGUUUGCAGGAUGCAGCCCGGUGACAAGAGAGCUGCCGCCACGAUGCCACCAGGACUGAACAGCACCUAUCCUGGAAAUGUGUGCACGGGAUGUUUCAUCAAUGCUGAAUGAACAAACGCAUCUCCCAUUCAAGUGGAGGUCCAAAAGAAAGGCCUGAGAGACAGAUUUUUCUUCCCUCCUAAGUUACAGUUUGUGGUAACCUGAAGUCUCAGAAGAAAGUUCAAGACCUUCCUCGGUCACCAGCUGGGGUGCCUUACGGGGAGCAAAGGCCAUUCUCAGUGAGAGCCACAGCCAGUCCAGCAGCCGGGAGCCCCACCUGGAGCUGCCCUGUGUUUGUGAUAUCAAAGGCCCCCCAGCCUAAGCAUCCAAGAAGCUGAGCAUGGCCUCCCGGUUGUACAUGCCCGUGGACCGCUUCUCCGUCUGGUUUCUCUGCCGCAGCCCCACGGGGGUGCUCCCAUCCGGGUCCGCCACGUCCAGCUCCUUCUCCAGCUCCUCCAUCUCCUCGGGAGACAGGGUGGACAGCAGGCUGUCGAUGUCGGGGUCUUCACUCACCUGCCGGCGAUACUUGGCUACCUUAGACAUCCUGGCAAGGUGCGCUGGGACUCUUGCAGGGGCUGCUGGAGUCCUGGUGGGCGACGAGGGGGAGGCGCGGAGCUGACCUAGACGGAGCAGAGUGGGCUUGAGAGCAGACUCCCAGCUGGUCGAGGACGCGGUGUCUCCUCCGCCCUGCCCUGCGGUGCCACAGGUGCCGAAGCGUUAACUGCAAGCUAACUCCGAGCCCAGGGCUAGUGGACCCUGGCUGGUCUAACCAGCGGCCAAUGAGACUUGACAACGGCCUGGCCCCGAAAGGGGAAGCCAAUCCCCACACAGGGGGGGCGGGCCUGCCUCGCUGUCAGAGCUGUUUGAAACUUGAGGACAUUCCAGGGAAUCUUGGAGCUCUGUGUGACCAAAUUUAGUACAGAGCAUUUAGCCUUUUAAAGACAAGGGGGCCACGCAAUGAGAAAAAGAUACAAAAAUGCAGAGCCUGGCAGAAGCUGAUCAGAGCCACGGGAGGGCCAGAAAAGCAGGGAUGGGGCCAUGGGGGUUCAGGAACAGGCCAGCCCCAGGCACGUCCUGUUCAAGCACAUAUCUGACUUCUCCACCCGGGGUGGGUGUUGCCGUUGUUGGUACGUGGUCCACUGACUCCUUUCUACUGUAUUUGGUAAUGUGCUGGGGGACUUCCAGUAGUUUACAGCCCAGGAAAGAUACAUGAUUCCAGAUCAUCUGAACUACCUGCCCACCCGUUCUCUCUGGGAAGGAGAACCCUAGUGCUGAGCAUCAGAGGCCCCAGCCACUUCUUGAGAGACAGAGAGAGAGGGAGAGAGAACAAAUCUUCACUGUGUACCCAAACUGAAAACUUGCAGGCUGUUUGGGGAAGACAGUGGGACCCGCGGAAGUCAGGAAACUCUUAAAGAACCGUCAAUUUCCAUGAAGUGCCAUGGCUCUUAGCGAGAGGGUUCAGACCUCCCUCCCUUCUCAUCUGCUUCCUCCGCUGCUGGGGCAUCUGUAGACAGAUCUCCUUUGGGAGCACCGGCAGGUUGCCACCCCACGUAUAAAUCCAGAGCACGACCGAGUGUGUCUUCGGGGAAAUAUAAUUCUGGGCUGUUGGGAGGGAUACUAUGGCAGCAAGUCUGGCAUGUUUCGUAAAAGGGCUUUCCACUGCUCAUCCAUCAUGCUGCCUGCACAAGUCACAGAGACACUCAAUCUCCUGCCCCCCUCCCUCCUGCCACAAAAUCCCUUCUAGAAGCCCUGGUGUAACCCAUCAGGGUAGAUGCUUCGAUCUUUCCUGGCGUCUUUCCAUCCUAAGCCAGAGAGAGACCGUCACCUGAUCAGCAUCUGCUGAGUCCAGGGAUCGUCUGGGACAAAAACUUGGCCCUGGCAUUUAACGUCCACUAGUCCGGCUUUAGGUUAAGGCUGAGCAGGGGAUGGCACUGACUGGCGGGACUGGAGUGCAGAGGUGAGGCAGGGAGACCUGAGAGGAAGGGUGGAAGAAAGGCUUAGAGAAUCCUGGGGGUUGUCAUUUUUAGGAGGCAGUAGUCAGUCUGUCGGUGAGCCAGUAAGCAUGUAUUUAUUGAGUGCUUACUAUGUGUCAGGCAUGGUUCUAAGGGCAAGGCAUGUAACUAAAGAUAGAAAAUCAGGGGCGCCUGGCUGGCUCAGUGGGUGGAGCAUCUGACUCUUGGUCUCAGGGUUGUGAGUUCAAGGCCCAUGUUGGGUGUGGAGCCUAACUUAAAAAAAAAAAAAAAAAAAGAAGAAGAAGAAAGAAAAUAAAAAAGAAACUCAGUGUGGGCCCUGCCUUCUUAUAGCUUACUUUUAUCAGUGAAGAGAAUUAAUAAGGAAAUAAUUUCAAGUAAUUCAUUAAACAGUUAAAAGCCUACAAAAUGCCUCAAAAGAGAAGUACAGGGGCCAUAAGGAAACGCCACAGGGGAGGCUGCAGAGCAGGAUGGCUUCAUCGUUCAAGUUCAAGCUUGGGCUCUCCAGGCCAAAGGACCAUGCAUGUUAGGUCCUGGAGUUGCUACUUACUGGUCAAGUGACUGAGGGUCAGCUUCAUCAUCUGUAAAAUAAGGACAACAUUGUAAGACUGUUGCGAACAUCGGAUCCAAACAUACACAUAGAACAGGUGCUAUAUUGAUAUAUAGUAAAUGCAUAGUAAUCAUGAGCAGUUAUUACAACUGUUACAUAGUCAUUUACAAUUAUUUAUUCACUUGCUUCCUGGGUUCUUUUCUCCCCAUCCCACCUCUUCUCUUACCUUUUUCUUUCUUUCCUCAGCAGUAACCGCGCACGCACACACACACACACACACACACACACACACACACACCCCUUCUUAUCUGGUCCUCAUUCAUUCAUUCAUUCAUUCAUUCAAGCAUUAUUCAGAUACUGCUAUGUAUAGAUAGCAUGUCAGGCACUACAGGGUAAGAGAUACAAAAAUAAUUACAACAUGGUUUUUCUCUUUAAAAUGUAUGAUUUAUAGGGCAAAAACCAAUUAUACUGUAAGGCAAAGUGAAGCAAGACAGGUGGAAGCAAUUGUUAAGAGCCCAACAGAAGCUGCAGCAAUUUUGCAGGGAGAAGUCAGGGGGGCAUCCCAGAGGGCAUAACAAAGGACUUGAGCUAGCCUGAGGUGGGCUUUCCUUUGAUAUGCUCAUGGAAAGGACACUUCCUGCACCUGCCAGCGAGUCCCUAGCCCAACCCACCCCUACUCCUGUCUCGCCUCGGGUCACUCAGUCUUCACUCUCACUCUUGCCCAGCAGGGGCUUUCUGGAAGAGGCAUCGUCCCUGGCUCUGGAGCCACCUUGGCCAACCUCUAGUCUCCCAGGCCCCAGUCCACUAAAAGCAGCUCUCUUUCCAGCCCCCAACGAUUCUUCUUUCUUAGGCUUUUGGCCAAUAAUGUUCACUGCUUCCAAAGAGCAGCCAGGGCCUGAAUCAAAAACCACCUUCAGCCCCAGGGGUAGCCUUUGUACCAUCUGGUUUCGGUGACCUUCCCUCUGGGUCCAGUGGUCUCUGCUUGAGGAACACACUCAAAAAACAGAUCCACAGCUUCCAAAAUUUAAGUCAGGACUCGUGGCCUCCUAACCAAAGUUUCUGCACAUAAACCCCUGCACCUUCUCUGCCUCGGGUCCCACAAUUCCAAACAGCUGGCUCUUCUGAUAUGAUCCAGUCUGAGAUUUUUUGCUCCCUAGAGUCCCAGGGACUGUGGGCUCACAGACUCUGAAAAGCUUCCCUUGAAAAGUAUCACAGAGGGAUCUGGAAGACUUGGGAACCCAGAGCCCAGGAGUCCAGUCUCCUCCAGCGCCUGCAGUGAAGGACCACUGCCCACUUACUCUGUAGAGGGCAAGAAUUAUCCAAGCUCAGAAUCCACUUCCACCUGAAACAAACACACCUUGAGUGUUAUGGGAUGCUGACACAGCCUACUCCCCAGAGAAACAUUUGCUGUUAUGCUGGAACCGGGGGGAGAGAAAGGAAGAAAAAGAGACCUUAAGCUCUAGCCAAAUAUGUGGUGGUGGUGGGAAUAGGGAACCAGAACCAAUUUAACUAAUGCUUAGGGUGGUUCUUUAACUAGACUGGAUGACCCCACUAAAGUCACAUUUUCAGGAACAUACAGUGACAGGCAGUAUAGUAUAGCAGAUAAGACCACAGGCUCUGGAGUCAAAUGACCUGGGCUCAGAUCUAAGAUGUGUGACCUUGAGUAAGUUUUUAACCUCUCUCAGCCUUAGAUGGAAAAUGAGGACAUUAAAAGUACCCACCUAAAGAAAAGAAAGUAGCUACUGCAGAGGGUUAUGGAAUUAUUAAAUAGAUUAAAUAAGAUAAUGCAUGAGGCACCUGGGUGGCUCAGUUGGUUGGGCAUCUGACUUCGGCUCAGGUCAUGAUCUCACUGCUUGUAGGUUUGAACCCUACGUUGGGCUCUGUGCUGACAGCCUGGAGCCUGCUUCGGAUUCUGUCUCCAUCUCUCUCUCUCUCAAAUAUAAAAUAAAAAAACAUUUUUUUUUAGAAGAUAAUGUACUCUAAGGGCAUAACAUAGCAUCAGACACAUUGUCCGCACUCAAUAUAUUGUGAGUCAAUAUAUAAUCACAUUGGUUCUCUUCUCUGGUGGGGGGAAGCUGGAAGUUUCUCUAAAGCAGCACAUUUUGUCUCUAGAAGCAGGCCACUGGCCUGUCCCGGCACUCCUGAGGUGAGUGGUAGUGGGUAGAGGGGAGCUCUGAGACCGCACAGGCCAGACUAAUGUCUUCCUGGAAGGAGAGCAAGGGGGAACAAAAGGGGCAGAAAGGGAAAAAGACUGCCUCCCCCACCCUCACCCUGACUGAAACCUCUCUGCCCACCAAAGAGGAGCCAGUCACAGACAGCAACCCCAAACCCGAGAGUCAGCUGUGGUGCAAGCCUCACUCGUCCAUGCCGAUUUGAGUUUCCCAGUGACCGGAUCGGGCAGGGCUAGGGGGUUUGGAGACAUGGCCUGUCUCCCCUGGGCGGACCAAACUCUUUAGGACUCCCACGGCCUCUGGCUCAGUGGAGCUCGACCUAUGUAGAUCCAGGAACCUUGAAGGUACUGAGUGGCCGGGACGGGAAGAGUCUGGAAAUGUCCAUCCCCCUUCCUCCAUAAGUUGGGUCUGUGUGGAAACAAGCAUUCUUGGUUCCCUUACUCAUUUGUGGUUUAUUCUCUUGUGCACUCCCCACAGUAGCUAUUUCAGGCCUGCUGCUUACCCUAUGACCUCAUUGUAUCCUUCUAGAAUGAACUCCUUUAGCUAUAUUAAUAAAGGAGAUAAAACUUAAA